CUCAAGCUCAACAGGAAGACUCUGCACCAUCCACGACUUUCUUAUGGUGCCCAGUUUGGCACUUCCAAGGCCCCCUCUUUGAGGGUGGGGGCUGGAUUUUCCAAGGAAGAAGGGACCUUAAACAAUCUUCUGACUUGUAACAGUCUCAGAAAGGCUGCAGGAUGUCGACCUGGUUGUACCGAAGCCUUUGACACCUCCCAUAGAACUAUCCCAGCUGUGAAGUCAUGGGGCCUUCACAGGGCCUGGACGAGAGACGACUGUGUUUGGACAACCCUGAGAAAUAAGCCUUCUGGCAUCUGGUGUCCACAGAGUCAGCAUUCUCAAUUUAAUAAAAAUGUAAAUGAUUUAAGCAAUAAUAAUUACCUUGGAGCUGUUACUGCUACCAGGAUUGGUUUAAAUGAAAACAAGACAGAGCCAAAGGAUUUGUAGUCUACCUUUACAUGGAUGGUAAAUAAAUCACUCUUUCUCAUUUUCAGAGUCAAAGCACGACCCUUUCAGACUUCACUCACAGUGGAAAGGCGGGUAUCUGUUGAUUGGUAAAUGAAGGGAUUUAAGUUAUGAUGACGGGAACACUGUGGAAUUCAAUGAUUAGGUCUUUGAUCAGAGAAUUCUAAACAUACAGGCCCUUUUGCCAUUGGAGAGGUCAACAUUGUCCUUUUCAGGCCUUGCACAAAUUAAUGCUGAGGAAGUACCAUCCCUUAAUCCCCAUCAAAGAAGUUAUGCUUUGGUGCUUAGAAAAAGAAUUCUUCUAAACACAAAAGCAAAAUACCCAAAGUCAUUCUGCCCACAGAAGGGACAGCCUACUUUGCUGAUGACUCGCACCUCCAUUGCCAGACAGGCAAUUUUUUGAAUUUAUCUGGCCCAGAGCUAAAUAAGCUAUCUAUGCUGACAAUCAUCAGAAAAGGUUCCACAUUUUUGGACUAUCACUGGGGCUGAUUCUGUAGCAUCUCAGUUUAAAGGCAAUGUGGCAAGUCCUUGCAAGGGGCUAAUGCAAGCUGUUAGCUGAGCCCGAUAAAAGCUUUUCCUGGCCAAGAAGGUGAUAAACGUUGCCACGUUAAUCUGCAGAUGAAAGGAGGCUGACUUCAGUGGUAUUAUUUAAGCUGUUUUACCCUAAGUGCUAGCGGCCCAACAGGAACAGUCAGCAGGUGAUUUAGCCCCUCACCUUCAGAAAGAAAGGCAUAUCACCAUGGCAUCUUAACAUGACCAAAGGGGACUAGUCCCCAAGGAGCGACCCAACUGGAUUUGUUCUUUCUCCACAGAGAAUGGAAGCACUAAGACCCUGAUUUCAUCACCAGGCAAUCAGCACUCAUUCACUGAAAGCUUUCUGAGCCAGUCCCUCUGCUAGGUGCUACAGAUUCAGAAUACAAGACCCUCACAGUCAGAAGCCCGAAACAAGACUGCACAUCAGUCGACACAAGGCUGCCUAUAGGUAAUAUCUUAGAAGCCCAAAGGAAGAAGAGUUCCAUAAAUUCUCUAAAGCCCUCCUUAGAGAAGACUGUUUGCACUGAGUCUCGAUCAGUAAAUAAGAGGUGGCGACACAGAGAAUUAAACUCAGGGCAACAAAAUAUUGCAAUGAAUUAAAAAUUGUAAUCUAUUAAAAAUGAAUGAGUUAAAAAUUAUAUCUUAAUACCAUGUCAUACUAUUCUACAAUGAAAAGGAACAAGAUAGUAAUACAUAGAAAACAUAGAUAAGUCUUUAAAAAGUGCUAAGUAGAAAGUCAAAUACAAAGACUAUACUAUAUGGUCCAAUUACAGAAAUUCUAGAAAAGGCAAAACAUAGUGAGAAAAGCAUAUUGGUUGUUAUCUGGGAUCAAAGCUUAGGAGACUUACAAACUGCAAAGGCGCAUAAGGAAAAUUUAAGGUGAGGGAGCUUUUCCAUAUCUUGAUUGUGGUGGAAGUUAUACAACUGUAUAUAAUCACCAAAAUGCAUCAAACUUGACCCUUAAAAUGAGUGGAUUUUUUUCUAUAUAAUUAUACUUCAAUAAAGAAAAAAAGCUAGUGAAAAAGGAAUUCAGUCUUUAGGUAUAUUCCUGAGAACAUAAGUCAAG
rnacentral:lncRNA from 9 species